rnacentral:rRNA from 1 species
UACGAAGGGGGCUAGCGUUGCUCGGAAUCACUGGGCGUAAAGGGUGCGUAGGCGGGUCUUUAAGUCAGGGGCGAAAUCCUGGAGCUCAACUCCAGAACUGCCUUUGAUACUGAGGAUCUUGAGUUCGGGAGAGGUGAGUGGAACUGCGAGUGUAGAGGUGAAAUUCGUAGAUAUUCGCAAGAACACCAGUGGCGAAGGCGGCUCACUGGCCCGGUACUGACGCUGAGGUGCGAAAGCGUGGGGAGCAAACAGG